AUGGGCAGGCCGAGAAGUGUUGGUGAGGUGGACCAAGUGGCGCCCCAGUCUGCACUGUCUGUGAAGAACCCCUCAGAUCAGUCUAAGGCCCAAACUCAACCAAAACAGCGGCUGUCAAGAGCUCACAGAACAAAUGGGAGGUGGAAGAAGCCCAUAGUAGAAGAUGUCCAUUCCCCGGCACCACAUGAGCUGGACUGGGUCAAAGAGGUCCGGGAGAAGCCAAGUAAACAUACUGGGAAUCAAAAAGAGAACCAUUACCUGUCCCGUCAUGGUGGACGUGGGAGAGGUGAAGUGGGAGCACCCCAGUCGAAGCCGAGGAGCCCCACUGACCCGUCCAAAGCCCAGAACCAGAACCAGACUCAGGCCCAGCCAGGCUGCAGGAGAGCUCGAAGAAGGAAUGCCCACUUCAAAUGGAGGAAGAAAAGGGCCGCCAUGGAAGAUCCUCCUGUGCCACCACCACGUGAGCAGCAGCACUUGGAGGGUGAGGACUGGGAGCAGGAGCUCAGUGGCCAUGCUGGAGACCAGGAGGACGACCACGACAGUCCUUACGGUAUUGAGGAUGUCAUGACCGUGGCCCUGAUGAAGCUCAGUGUGAAGCCGGCCUGGAGCGGGCUAGUGCCAACCCUCUACAACCCCAGCGUCCACCACAUGCCCCAAGUCAGGUGGGAGUAUGGCAGCCACGCCGUGGUGGAGGGGCAGUUCUCGGACGUGGAGGAUUGAUGGAAUAAUCAGGAUCUGGUUUGUUAGGGAUGGUUGAGCACUCAUGAGUUUGGGUUCCUUGCUGGUUUCUGGCAGUUUCUCUGUCAGUUAGUCAUGGGCUGUGUAUUAGUUCUGCAGUUAAAACGGGUCACUUAUAGUUAUUGAAUGUCGCGAAGAGAUUUAUUUAAAAGAAAAGAUUUAUUACUUUUAUCAUUUUAAUUAUAAUCACACUGUCAUUUCAUUAUGUAUUUAUUUUGACAUUUUAUUUACUUUAUCAUGUAUUUUCAUUAAUUGAUCAAGUAAUUGGUAAGUUUCAAAUAGCAAAAAGAAAGCGUUCAUAUUUGUUUAUACAGUUAACACACCAACUUUCAGCUUUGGAUCCUUUGCAAAGAG
rnacentral:lncRNA from 1 species